CAAGGUUCUAGAAGUUACUAGAGAACUAUCCUGCCUAAAAGCAUAGGUUUUUCUAGCUCUGAUAUCCUGACCCCAUUCAAUGCUAGGACAGGAGGUGACUUCCGAAAGACAUACCACUGAUAGGAUCCCUGUCAACGGAAGGAACUGAUUCCUGAGACCUAGUACAAAAAGGCAAGACCAGGCCACACUCAAAGGAUACAAGAUCCUUGAUUAGCUUCGCUAUUAGCACCAAUUCGUGAAAACCAGUAGUAUCUUGUAAAAUGAUGACAAAAUUAAUAGCUAAGCAGUUACAACCUCAGGUUGACUAAUGUAUUUUGGAUGUUCAGUUACUUGAAUUCAUAGCCAGCAGCACAAGGUAAGUUUCUUCCUACCAAGGAUCAACUAAACGACAGGUUAAAAUAGAAAAGCUGUCGAAGAUGGAAAUGUUCUUUGAGUGGUGUUAUUUGUAUAAGAGAUAGACAAUUUAGAAAAAAUAAUACAGAAUGUGACUUGUGGAAAAAACAGUGACAAGGUUCUGUCAUUCAUCAAGAAGUGCAAUACAUUGCGUAGUUUAGUAAGACUACUGGAGAUGGGUGUGGUGAAAGAUAUUGAGAAAAUGCCAAGCAAGAAUGAGCCUGAGUUGAUAAGGAUCUAUUGCAAACAGGCAUCUCAGCGCUGGAGCACAGAUUGAGGAAAGGAUGGAAAUUAUUUAUUACUCACAAAAAUAAACUCCAGAUGGAGAAAAGAUGUAAAUGGGAAAGAGGAAAUAAUAAACUUUGGUAGGAAAAUAUAAAUGUAUAUGUGUAUUCGUAACUCUGAUGGUCAGAUGUUUUCAUAAGAUUUAAAGUUUUAUGAACACCAUAAAAUGUUUUAAAAAAUCAAAUAUUAAUGAAAAAUGGAUGGAUUCAGCUGUGUUAAAUUUUAAUGAUUCUGAUAGAUUGUCAAUUAUUUUUAACUAUUUGAGAAAGCAAUUAGGUAAGAUCUGGAGGUGGAAAGUCACAUACUCUGUAAUCUACCACUUCUCAAAGUGGAAAUACGUGCCUUCUACAUGGUCUCACUAAACUAGGUCAUGGGGACUCCACCCUCAUAAAUAGAUGGAUGCUAUCUCACUGGUAUAGGUCAGGUCUGACAGGGGUGCAGUUUCCUUAGAAGGGGGUUGUUGUACAUGGAACGAGACUAAACCCUUUUGGUUCUCUUGCUUCCUUUUGUACCAUAUGAACUCUCCUACUCUCCCACUCCAUAGGCGACGGCAGUGGCCAUGAAACUAGCACCAGAGACCAACAAAUGCUAGUGCCUGUUAGAACAGAAACCUAAGAAGUCUGAUCCCAUAGCCUAAAGAAAUCGGACCAUGAACCUCUCUCCUUGGGACAGAAAUCCAAGCAAUUAUUCUAUGCUGUGGACUAACAGUAAUCAGUAAUCUGUGUUGUUGAUGACCUGUACAUGACUCUUCCAUGCACUUUGUCACUUAUCCCAAACUAAAUCAAGUGGUAUAAAACUUCUUACCACCCAUCGAAAUUUAUUUAAAAAAAAAAACAAACAAACAGGUAUCUUGGUGUACACCUCUAUUCUGGCACUAGAGAGGCAGGUAGGUGGAUCUCUAUGAAUUCGAGGCUAGCAGAAGUUACACAAUCAAAUGCUAUAUGGAUGCGUGUACGUGUGUGUGUAUGUGUAUGUAAGUAUAAAAGGCAUAUAUUUUCCUGGGUUCAGUGGAUUUCUCUGAAAUCUCCUCUGGCCUCCCCUGUCGUCAUAGCUUAAUAGCACCCCCUCCCCUAACUUUAAGCUAUCACUCCCGAAGCACUUGCCCAGGAAUUAAAGGGAAUCCUCUCACUUUGUGGCCCUCUUAUGCUCUCAUUUGGUGACUUGCCUGGAACUUAGAGAGAUCUAUCUGCCUCCUAAGUGCCAGGAUGAAAAGCAUAUGCCACCAUUUCUGGCUCCCUUGUUGCUGGAGGAUAGGCCUGGCAGUGAGUUCAGGAUUCCAAGGAGGAGAUGUGGGCUCAACAACUACUGUAAAACAGGAACCCACUCACAGGCACUUGGUGGAUGAAGCAAGGCUCCACCAACUUUAUUCUUUCUCCUAUAGCCCAGCAAAGUCUUUCUAGCAGUAUAAAAGUCACAAUGUGGUUACAUUCUAUUUUUCUUUAAGUGAGUGAUUACAAUAAAUAUAAGGAAGAAAACAGUGUACGCCCCCAUAUCCUUACAUGAUUACACAUUUUGCAUAUUGCAGGUGAAAAACCAAUUAUUCCCAGUGACCCACAUAGAUCCCUGUCUAAGUAAUUUGUUACAGAUUAACACAGUGUAAGCAAGCAAGGUAUUUUUUUUUCACAGCCAGUUCCCUUACCGGAAGGCUGUAUUUUGCAGUUACAAAGAAAGAAUAAUCAUUCUAUUAUCUCAAAAAUUAUUCUUAUAAAAAAAAGUCCUAAAAGAAUCACAGAUCUAAAGUUUUCUAUGUAAAGACCCCAACGGUUUCUACACUACACUCAGAGUGCACACCUACUCACCAACAUUUCUUUAUUAAAUCAUAUCGGGAUGCUGGGGGCAAAAAUUGGUACAAGAAAUUACUCAUCCCCUUUGAUCAUCAACCCAUGUUAAGCAAGAGAGGCACAUCAUCUAAUAAUAACCUAAUAAUGACCUGGCUGCCAUUGUUCUUGUUCUCUGACUUCAAGGAGUCUCUUGCUUGACUAUCAGGAACGUGCCUUUCUGAACUUUAAAUUGUUCUCCAGCAAAAUUAUUCCACUAACAAGAACAUCUUAACAUAAUUUUCCUAACAAUAUAUAUCUCCAAAUUCUUUCUAAGGGUCGUGGUUGAAUCAUUAAUUUGCUCAGUAUCAAUACUUGGAAAACAUCAACCACUAUUAUAACUGCUAGUAACAAUCCCCAGUGAUCGGCUAGAAAUGCCUUUAGAGUUUCCAUACAACUGAUAGAUUAUGAGAGACAUGGUGACCUCAAGGUCAGUUAGCAGAGUGGUACUCUGUAACAGCAUGAAGUCCUCAGUGCCCAUAGUCCUCAGGGCUCUGCCUCUCCCAAGGCACACCCAUCAUGGUUGUGCUAACAGGUAGAUGUCCUCCAUGAGUUCUAAAGCUGUUUGCUGUUCCUCUCACAUGGCACCCAACAACUGGUGAUUUUAAAUCCCAUCAAGUUGGCAAUUAAGAUAAACCAUUACAAGACUUCAUGAAAUUAAGAAGCUUCUGAGAGACAAGAGAAAUUGUUAAUCAAAUGAAGAGAUAGCCUACAGAAUAAGAUAAAAUCUUAACUAUAUAUAUAUAUGUCAAAAAACUAAUAUCUAAAAUGUACCAAAAUCCGCAAAUAAUAUAAUAAUAUAUAACAAAAA